rnacentral:misc_RNA from 1 species
UGGAUAUGUUACAGGAAGUUGUA